GUCGUCCCCCAGGGCGGCCCUGAUCCCAUGGCACGAGGUACUAUGCAUUCAUCAUGUUUAUCAUGUACCCAUAUAAAGUAGCUAAUAUUAUUUUUGCUCCUAUUCAUAGUGAUGGAGGAGUACGGAGAGAUUUUUUGUUCGGUUGAGAAGUGGUGUCUGUUGGUCAGCAAACUAAACUCUAGGCAGAAAAAGCGUUUUGGAAGCACUAGUCUUGAAAAAAUGUUGAUGAUUCCUACUGUGCUCAUGCGAAAAUGUUUGCUGAAGUUCAUUAUUAAAUCAUAUGCGUUGGACAGAAAAAGGUUGAUCACGCCAUCAAAAAACGGUGCGAUAUCAUUGCGCCCUGAAGAUGUGUUUGACAUUUUCAGGCUACGGAACAAGGGCAGAGAUGCCAUGAAAGCGCUAGGUAAACGGGGGUUAAAGGCUAAGGUGAAGGUGCCUAGUCGUUUUCUAGAUUCCAAUACGGGGGAAAUGAUGAUAGACGAGCUGAUUGAGAACAUCGUUGCCAAUGGCACGUACGAUGAUGAUUUUCUUCGUAGAAUUGUUCUGGUUCUUCUAGGCACGGUUCUUGCACCGCAGUCCACGAAAGAAGUUCCUAAUGCUUAUUACAAGUUAGUGGAGGAUGUGGAGGCCAUCAAAGCAUUUAAUUGGAACACGCUUACUUUACGCGUUUGCGUUGAAGGCAUCACAAAGACCUUAUCAGAUCUUACAAAAUUUACUUGGCCGAUCGAAAACCUUGCCUUCAUAUAGUACUUGUUUUGGGAGAAAGUGCAGCCACUGGAUGAUGAGGCAUUUGAUCGACUGGCUCAUGAAUAUCCGUUGAUGCUUAAUUGGUCAGAAGAUGAGGCUAAGAAGCGUGACGCGUACGACACGUCAUACGGCCGUGGUAAUGGGACGAUUGAUGACGUGAUAAGCGAGAAGUACAGACAAGGAUUAAUUGCUCAACAAGGAAGAAAGGCGGAGGAAGAAUUAGAGCAAGAAGAUUGAACAGGUCGUGCCCAAACAAGGAAAGAUAAUAGAGACGAGGCUUCGUCGAGCAGGGAUAGUACAUUAGAUCAAGUGAUGAAAUGCAUUAAAGAUAUGCAAAAAGAAAUUCGACUUCUCCCUGAAAAAUGUGCCGAGAUAGUAUUAGAGAAGCUGGAGAAGAAAGGUCUUGUCUUCAAGCCAAACAGGGGGUCUGGUGAUGACGUUGAGUUUGUGGAGCAUAGUGAAGACUAUGUGUGGAAGUAUGGUCCAUCAAAAUACAAAUCAUCAAAAUAUUGGACAGAUGUAAAAUCAACUCCUGCAAAAGAAGAUAUGGACAACAGGGUGGACGCAUCCUUCACCAUUGGGAACGGGAAGAAAUUGGCGCGUGAGAAAGGUGUGCAUCACAACACACAUGGUACAGGAGAUGAAGGCGACCCCUUCAUUAUUGACGACAAUGGUAAUUCACCCAACCCAUCUCUUGCGACGGUAGACACGAAUGACUUUCCAGCUAUUACUUCAACCCCCAAGAAUAUGAAUGAAGUGUCAGACGGGUCUAGCGCCGAUAAAUAUGAGGAGAUUAGUAUGGAUAGUCUGAACACCCGUAUAAAAAAUGCGAAAGAAAAUGGCACUAAGGAGAAUGAUGGGAAACGCAAGAGGAAACAGUCAAAAUACUGUCUUUCACCCUACCAGCAGAAUGGUGGACGUAAACAUGCAAAGAAAAAUCUGUUUGUAUAAGAGCUGCUAUGAUUAGUACUGAUUACAUUAAUGAGGAUCACAUAGAGGCCGUAAAGGUUUAUAUCCAGACACUGGCAGACUCGGAGAAGCUUUGUAGGAAAAUUGUUGUGCACAUGACGGGAAUUGGUGGGGAAACAUGUACACCUGAUAUGCUUCAAGCCAUCAUUUUGAAAAAGUGGUUGCAUGGCGGUGUCAUCAAUAUUAUUGCAACCAUAUGCAGACCCAUAAUCCUCGUGCUGACCAUCACAUAUUAUCAUCUUGGGUGUCCCACUGGCUUAUUCUUCGUGCUGAUGGAAAGGUUAACAACUCUAAGAGGCAUUUUAUGGAUCAUUUCACAAACCAAACUAAAAUGGUGUCUAGAGUUACUGAAGAGUAUUUCAUCAAAGAUAAGGCAUACUUUCCUUUUCCUGUGAAAGAAAAUCAUUGGAUAACAGUUCUUAUGCACAACAAGAAAAAAGAGUUUCAAGUUUUAAACUCUACUGGUGAAUGCAGCAAAAGAGUUCUUUCAAAGAUUGCUAAGCUGAGGGCAGAAAUAGCUAAUGAUACAAAGGAGGCGAAUGCACUUAUUGGAACGGAACAUCCUGACGUAUCUUCCUGGCCAAUAAGGGAGUACGAUAUGCCGUUACAAAAAGACGGGGUCUCUUGUGGUCUUUUCGUGGUGAAAUGCGUUCAAACCUGGGACAGAGAUGAUUGGACAUUUGAGUUUGAUCAAUAUGAGGUUAAUGCUUCAAGGGGACGCAUUCUAGCUGAAAUAUUUUUUCAGAAUGCAACACGAUGGAAGUAGUGAAAGAGAAGAUCCUCAAGAUCAUGGAGAAGAAAUGAGUCGGAGGAUGGGGUGUUGGCUAUUAUCUCCACUAAAUAAACGUGCCGUUGUCGGUACUUGAUACAAUUUUCAUAUUAA